UACGUAGGGGGCAAGCGUUGUCCGGAAUCAUUGGGCGUAAAGAGCGUGUAGGCGGUCCGGUAAGUCGGUUGUGAAAGUCCAGGGCUCAACCCUGGGAUGCCGAUCGAUACUGUCGGACUAGAGUUCGGAAGAGGCGAGUGGAAUUCCUGGUGUAGCGGUGAAAUGCGCAGAUAUCAGGAGGAACACCCAUGGCGAAGGCAGCUCUCUGGGACGGUACUGACGCUGAGACGCGAAAGCGUGGGGAGCGAACAGG
rnacentral:rRNA from 1 species